rnacentral:rRNA from 1 species
UACAGAGGGGGCAAGCGUUGUUCGGAAUUACUGGGCGUAAAGGGCGCGUAGGCGGCCUGCUAAGUCGAACGUGAAAUCCCCGGGCUCAACCCGGGGAACUGCGUCCGAUACUGACAGGCUUGAAUCCGGGAGAGGGAUGCGGAAUUCCAGGUGUAGCGGUGAAAUGCGUAGAUAUCUGGAGGAACACCGGUGGCGAAGGCGGCA